rnacentral:lncRNA from 10 species
AAUUUGAAGAACUCCCAUUCCAGCCAUUAAAAGCUGGCUGACACUAAAGAGGCAUCAAGCUUUUAUUGCUCUCAGUGUGCUUCUGAAAUCUCUGAGGCAGUUUGAACUAAAUUAACCACUAUCAAGAAAAGGGGCCAGGACAUCUCAAUAUGCCCUAUAAAUUCUGGAAGACAGCCCCAAUCUAGUUUCAAGAAUACCUUCCACUAUUUUAGCAGUUACUACCUACUUGCUUGGAAUCUAAUUUGUUCUACUUAAAUUAGAUUAUCAGUCCUCAGGCCAUAUGACUCAAAGUAAAAACUGGCAGUUGAUUGGCAGGGCCUCUUUCUGAAGCAUUUCCCUUCCCUCUUUAUGGGACCAGAGCUGUCUUCUCCAUCAAAAAAUCUUUUCUAAGAAAGUAUUUAUUCUUUUCCUUUUUCUUUUUUUUUUUUUUUUUUUUGAGAUGGAGUCUAGCUCCAUUGCCCAGGCUGGAGUGCAGUGGCACUAUCUUGGCUCACUGCAACCUCUGCCUCCUGGGUUCAAGCGAUUCUCCUGCCUCAGCCUCCUGAGUGGCUGGGAUUAGAGGCGUGCACCUCCAUGCCUGCCUAAUUUUUUGUUUGUUUGUUUUGUAUUUUUAGAAAAGACAGGAUUUUACCACAUUGGCAAGGCUGGUCUCAAACUCCUGAUCUCAAGUAAUACACUCACCUCGGCCUCCCAAAGUGCUGGGGUUACAGGCAUGAGUCACUGCACCAGCCUGGUAUUUAUUCUUGAUGUAAAUGGAAGUGAAUGCAUUACUUCUCCCAAUGACAUUAAUUUUUAAUGCCUAACUUCUAAUUAUAGAAAGCCUUUGUAGAGGGUAAAGGAAAUUCGGACAUUGUAGAGCAGACUGGAGAGUUAAUUUGUCAGGGUGAUGAUCUCUCCUGCAAUCUCAUCUUCUACCUGGGAAUGAGAGCUUCCCCAAAGUUGCUGAUGCUCAUGUAUGUGAGGAAACCUAAUGCAAACAAGAAUCCAGGUAUCUAUCUUUUACUAAACAUUGUAGAAUCAAGAUUGUAGAAUCAAGUAUGCAUUGCUAAUAUCUCCCUUUAGAAUAAUAUCUCCCUUGUAGAAUCAAGAUUGUAGAAUUAAGUAUGCAUUGCUAAUAUCUCCCUUACUCUCUCAGGAUCUUUCCAUUUUGAAAUCAGGAAAAAAGUAAACUGAAAAAGCAAUAUGAUAUAGUAUACUACAGGUAUUAACUUGGAGUCCCCCAUGAAUGGGUUUCAAAGGGUCUCUUGAUAUAGUAUGCAAAAUAUUACUGGCACAUGUGUGCAAUGUCUUGAGAAG